GUAGGUGGCAAGCGUUGUCCGGAAUUAUUGGGCGUAAAGCGCGCGCAGGCGGUCCUUUAAGUCUGAUGUGAAAGCCCACGGCUCAACCGUGGAGGGUCAUUGGAAACUGGGGGACUUGAGUACAGAAGAGGAAAGCGGAAUUCCAAGUGUAGCGGUGAAAUGCGUAGAGAUUUGGAGGAACACCAGUGGCGAAGGCGGCUUUCUGGUCUGUAACUGACGCUGAGGCGCGAAAGCGUGGGGAGCAAACAGGAUUAGAUACCCUGGUAGUCCACGCCGUAAACGAUGAGUGCUAAGUGUUAGGGGGUUUCCGCCCCCUUAGUGCUGCAGCUAACGCAUUAAGCACUCCGCCUGGGGAGUACGGCCCGCAAGGCUG
rnacentral:rRNA from 1 species